rnacentral:rRNA from 1 species
UAAAGGGUCCGUAGGCGGUUUGGUAAGUCAGUGGUGAAAGCCCAUCGCUUAACGAUGGAACGGCCAUUGAUACUGCCAGACUUGAAUUACUAGGAAGUAACUAGAAUAUGUAGUGUAGCGGUGAAAUGCUUAGAUAUUACAUGGAAUACCAAUUGCGAAGGCAGGUUACUACUAGUGGAUUGACGCUGAUGGACGAAAGCGUGGGGAGCGAACAGGAUUAGAUACCCCGU